UCCACACAGAGAGACUAGGGCUGAAUAUGGGUCUGUCUGUCCACACAGCGAGACUAGGGCUUUAUCUGGGUCAGUCUGUCCACACAGAGAGCCUUGGGCUUUAUCUGGGUCAGUCUGUCCACACAGAGAGACUAGGGCUGUAUCUGGGUCAGUCUGUCCACACAGCGAGACUAGGGCUUUAUCUGGGUCAGUCUGUCCACACAGCGAGACUAGGGCUGAAUAUGUUUCUGGGUCUGUAUCUGGGUCAGUCUGUCCACACAGAGAGACUAGGGCUGAAUAUGUUUCUGGGUCUAUAUCUGGGUCAUCUGUCCACACAGAGAGACUAGGGCUGAAUAUGUUUCUGGGUCUGUAUCUGGGUCUGUCCUCUACACAGAGAGACUAGGGCUGAAUAUGGGUCUGUUUCUGGGUCUGUCCUCCACACAGAGAGACUAGGGCUGAAUAUGGGUCUGUUUCUGGGUCAGUCCUCCACACAGAGAGACUGGGGCUUUAUCUGGGUCUGUUUCUGGGUCAGUCCUCCACACAGAGAGACUGGGGCUGAAUCUCAAGCUGACCCUUGGCCGCUAAUCCCUUUGUGUUUGAUAGUGAUCACUCAACUGCC
ensembl:lncRNA